GAGCCAGACUCCUACGGGAGGCAGCAGUGGGGAAUAUUGCACAAUGGGGGAAACCCUGAUGCAGCGACGCCGCGUGAGUGAAGAAGUAUUUCGGUAUGUAAAGCUCUAUCAGCAGGGAAGAAAAUGACAGUACCUGACCAAGAAGCCCCGGCUAACUACGUGCCAGCAGCCGCGGUAAUACGUAGGGGGCAAGCGUUAUCCGGAUUUACUGGGUGUAAAGGGAGCGUAGACGGUUAUGUAAGUCUGGAGUGAAAGCCCGGGGCCCAACCCCGGAACUGCUCUGGAAACUGUGCGGCUAGAGUACUGGAGGGGCAGGCGGAAUUCCUAGUGUAGCGGUGAAAUGCGUAGAUAUUAGGAGGAACACCAGUGGCGAAGGCGGCCUGCUGGACGAUGACUGACGUUGAGGCUCGAAAGCGUGGGGAGCAAACAGGAUUAGAUACCCGGGUA
rnacentral:rRNA from 1 species